rnacentral:tRNA from 1 species
GGGGUUGUGGCUCAGCAGUAGAGCACUCGCUUCGCACAUGUGAGACCCUGGGUUCGAUCCCCAGAACCACA